AGUUAAUGAGCUUGAUAAGCAUAUAUUUUGAAAAUAUAAGAUAAGAUUUAAUUCUUAUUAACUU
rnacentral:tRNA from 1 species